CGGGGCGUAGCGCAGUCUGGUUUAGCGCGCCUGGUUCGGGACUAGGAGGUCGGAGGUUCGAAUCCUCUCGCCCCGA
rnacentral:tRNA from 1 species